rnacentral:rRNA from 1 species
AGUGAACGCUGGCGGUAGGCCUAACACAUGCAAGUCGAACGGCAGCACAGUAAGAGCUUGCUCUUACGGGUGGCGAGUGGCGGACGGGUGAGGAAUACAUCGGAAUCUACUUUUUCGUGGGGGAUAACGUAGAGAAACUUACGCUAAUACCGCAUACGACCUACGGGUGAAAGCAGGGGAUCUUCGGACCUUGCGCGAUUGAAUGAGCCGAUGUCGGAUUAGCUAGUUGGCGGGGUAAAGGCCCACCAAGGCGACGAUCCGUAGCUGGUCUGAGAGGAUGAUCAGCCACACUGGAACUGAGACACGGUCCAGACUCCUACGGGAGGCAGCAGUGGGGAAUAUUGGACAAUGGGCGCAAGCCUGAUCCAGCCAUACCGCGUGGGUGAAGAAGGCCUUCGGGUUGUAAAGCCCUUUUGAUGGGAAAGAAAAGCAGCAGGUUAAUACCCCGCUGUUCUGACGGUACCCAAAGAAUAAGCACCGGCUAACUUCGUG